GCUGGGCUUACCUAUCUCAGAUAUGGGGAAGGGUGAGGGGGCAUUGCAGACACCUACCCAAUGACAUACAUGUCCACACUCAGGUUCUCUUUGUUGAGCUGAAGAAGAUCACUGAGGUCUAGAGGAGGUGCUGCAGAGGCCACGUUCCACGUCACAACAUGGAUGCUGUGGAAGGGAUGCAAAGGGAAGUCGUGGAGGAAGGAGGGAGGUCCCUGGAGCAUAACCAAAUUCUGCCAAACAUUUCAGGGAGCCCAAAGAGAAGAUCCUAAAUAACAAGGUUCUCAACAUCUCUCUCAAGAGUCUACCCUCUCUUGGGAAAAGUCAUCAGUUGGAUAACAUCCUCAACCUUGGCUUCAUGCUAGGGAAGCAACAGAACUUAGAUCAGCAGCUCUCAAUAACAAUGGAUCACAUCAGAGGCUCCGGGGAAAAGACACUUGCAGAUCUCUUUAAUUGAAUAGUUACAGCAAUACUCCCAGAGAGCCCGAUUCUGCUCAGUACAGAGCAGGCAGGAGCUACAAACCCUGCAGAGACCAAAGACAGCCACCAAUCCCUAGGUGAGUCCUAGGGACACUAUGAGGAGAGGAUCUGCAGCAGCUGCAAACAGAGAAUGAGAGCAGCUACAAGGGGGUUGAAAGAGGUGGGAGAGAAGGGCAGGACGUCUAAAACAUCUCUUCUUCACCAGAUCCUGUUCUCAGAGGUCCGUGUUCUAAAAAGCACAAUUUGAAAUUCUUGGCCUUUUUAAAACAACUUCCUGCCCCUCCCUAUGAACAUCAACAAAACAAUACACAAACCACCUUUCUAGGCAUUCGGCCAGAGAUUCUGGGCUACGUUAGUUUAAGAUCUCCCCCUGCUGUCCAACAAAGGAUUAAGAAAAGCAACCCUUUUAGUGCAAGGCUCUUUGUUUUCCCACGGACCAGCUCUAAAUGGAUGGAGAACAAAAGUCGGGAUUUCUUGCCCUCACUCUCAGAUCCGACGAUUAGCAGCAAAUCCCUGCAUUGUGACUUGCACUAAGUUGGUGAUUAGCGCUGUUCUUUGCUAAAGAGCAAGCAUGGGACCAGGCUAUAUCCCUUCGCUAAAGGAUCUUACCUAAAUCUGAUUUCGGAUUUCAGGAGAUCACAACGGGAUCAGGCAGACCCCGUGAUGUACGUGCUGAUCAAAAGAACAAGAUUUCUACUCUAGAGCUGACAGAAGAAUGCCUUGUUAUGUCUUUAACUUCAGACAGCCCGACACCGCUGCCUCCGCCAGUAGCAAACUGAGACACCUGCUUGGGGCACCCAAAUAGGAACGAGCUCGGCGGCUUGAAUUUGGAGGGGGCGCGGGGCUUGGGCCCAAAACAGCCCACUCGACAUCGGCUUGGGAGAACUGGGGAGGGCCUCUGAACUAGAAUCAGCCCUGUAGGCCUGGUCCUUUCUCUCCCAGUCUAGUUCUACCCCAGAUCCGCAGCCCGGAAUGGGUAGGAGGCAGUGAUCCUGCCCGGAGCAGGCCGGCCUGCCCGCAGCCGCCUUCCUCACCUAAGCGUCUUGCCUCUCGGUUCGGUUAAUUUCCGUGGGUUCACAGCCGCCAUCGUCCCAAGCAGCGGCCCGGCCGUCUCGUGUGUCCCCGCCACAGCCGCUCCUGGCCCGAUCCGCCUCCCUCCUGCAGGAGCUCCCGGCCAGCUUACUCUCACCAAUUGUUUUCCUUCCGGAUUCUGUCUCUCCGCCUCAGCUUCCGUAAGAGGCGGGGCUUGAGGGCACGAAGGGCUCUGAGUGGCUCGGCCCGGGGGAAGAGGCGGGCCUCUCCAACGAGCGCGAAACGGCGAAAGGCUGCGAGGAGAGAGGCUUAGGGGGGAUCCGGGCCAAAAGACAGGCACGUCUCUGUGUCGUCAGAACCCGACGCAACGAUGCCCCGCCCGGCGCGCCGGGCAUCUGUCACCGCCCCCCCCCCCGCGGCUCCCAGGGUGCCCCGCGCGAGGCCGGCCGGGAGGGGCUGUCUUCCUGGCGGAAGCUGCUGCGAGGCCCGCACCAGCAUCCUCGAGCCGGUGCGUUUCCCUAUCGUUGGAAAUGGGGUCUCUGACCUCUGCGCUGUGCCCCUCCACCUCCCCAACGCCCAGAGACCCAAAAGGCGAAGGUUGAGGGUGGGGUGGCAACCCAGCCACUGUCCUGCCUGUAAACCAUUCUCUCUGCCCCUCAUCUACAGGUAAUCGCUCUCAUGUUGGUCAUUGAGCUCCUCCGUCGUUCCUCUCCACUCCCACUUUAAAGUGCUUCUCGCUUUUCAAACUCAUUAGGUUAUGUAUUACACGUUAGACGCUGGAGGUUCCUGGACUCUUAAAAAAAAAAAUUAGCCACCAAAGAAUGAAAAACCACUCCCUAUAUUUGAUGAAUAUCAGAUGAUUGUUUUGCCAAAGAUUAACACAGAUUUUCUUCAGAUAACUGGUCCUUAAUCUUUUUUGGCAGUGGGGAGGACGGUGCAUGGGAUUCCUUUGAGGAUCCGAUGAGAACCAUGACUCCCCAGAAGAACGCACAAUUUCACAAACAAGUGUUAUGAGGUUCACAGACCUGGGCCUUUUUUUUUUUUUUUUUUUAAAUAAAUGUUUUGAUGGGUAGGAUGGUAAAAAAGAGGGAGAUGUGAAGAGGAGGAGAGACCAAAGCAAAAGGGAAAUACUGCCAAUAUAAAGUGGCAGAAUUCCUUUCAAAUACGUGAUGUCUGCGUAAGUACAAUGACGAGGGGAUGUUUUAAUUUACAGAAAUUGGCCUAAAAAUUUUGGAGACAUCUUGUAUUUUUUUCUAAUCCUGGUAAAAUGGAGGACAUCAGCAGAAGUUGGAGCAUAUCUAAGUUGUAAAAUGGACAUAAGGACAUCACCAAUAAGCUGGACUCCAGAAAUCUCUGUCUAGGAUUUUAUUAGACUGCUUUUCUCCCCCCAGUAUACCUGUUUCGGAAGAUUGAGACAAAAAGGCACAAACUCACAUUAAAUAAACAAGGUAAUCUAA